CCCAGCUCUCCUCGUCGUCAUAAUCCGGUUGGUCUUCCCACAGUUUCGAUUUAAUGACCAAGUCCCUCCACUUUGGUUGAAAACCUAUUUUGUUGCUUGAAGUUGAAGGUUCCCCAUACCCUUUGACAAUGUUGUUCAUAGGAGGAGAGAAUGUGGUUGGAGAACUUUGAAGUUUGGGCUGUAUUUGCAUAUUGGUACCAUUAACAUGAGAUGUAUUUUUUGCCUCUGUAUUCUGUGAACUACAAAGCUGCAAAUUUUCUCUGAAGCAUUUUCCU
rnacentral:lncRNA from 1 species